rnacentral:rRNA from 1 species
CAGUCGCCGCGGGAAUACGUAGGUGGCAAGCGUUGUCCGGAACUAUUGGGCGUAAAGGGCUCGCAGGCGGUUUCUUAAGUCUGAUGUGAAAGCCCCCGGCUCAACCGGGGAGGGUCAUUGGAAACUGGGAAACUUGAGUGCAGAAGAGGAGAGUGGAAUUCCACGUGUAGCGGUGAAAUGCGUAGAGAUGUGGAGGAACACCAGUGGCGAAGGCGACUCUCUGGUCUGUAGCUGACGCUGAGGAGCGAAAGCGUGGGGAGCGAACAGGAUUAGAUACCCCCGUAGUCCCUGUCUCUUAUAC